ACGAAAGUAGAAAUAUUGCAAUAACGUCAAUAAUAUUAUUGACUGAUAUAAAUGUGCGAUUGCAACCAUUAAAUGCAGUCACGACAACAACAACAAUAAUAAUAAUAAUUCCAUUAGAAAUCAAUUUUUAUACUUCGAAUUUGAUGUUACAUGUACUCGUUAUUAAGAAAUAAUACUGUUUCACUGAUAAUAAAUAUAUGCUUGAAUUUCUUCGAAUAACUUUAUUAAAUAAUUUAGAACUUCGGCGUGCCAAAGUUUUUACGGGUAUAAUAUAGGGUUUUUUGAAGGUUGAAUUCACAAUGCCUAUACACCGCCUCGCAUCGACAUUUCUACAACUUGUUUAUUACACGGGACUGUUCGAAUAUGGUGUGUACUCGUUUUUGUCAAUAUACAUAUCGUACGUUUGGGUUGAAUCGAAUCAAUUCAAUAUCCCGUUAGAUUCUCACAACGUACC